rnacentral:lncRNA from 1 species
AACCAAUGUCUUCGACCCCUUUUCUCUGGAUAUCUGGGAUCCAUUCCAAGACAUCCCAUUCCCAAGCACAGCUCUCUCAGCUCCUCGCUCUGAGCUCGCAAACGAAACUUCAGCGUUUGCCAACACACGCAUAGACUGGAAGGAGACACCGGAGUCUCACGUUUUCAAAGCUGAUCUUCCAGGGCUGAAGAAAGAGGAAGUGAAAGUGGAGAUAGAAGACGGCAGGGUUUUGCAGAUAAGUGGAGAGAGAAGCAAAGAGAAGGAAGAGAAGAAUGACAAGUGGCAUAGAGUUGAGAGAUCAAGUGGGAAAUUCAUGAGGCGAUUCAGGCUGCCGGAGAAUGCGAAAGUUGAUCAGGUUAAGGCAAGUAUGGAGAAUGGAGUCUUGACAGUGACUGUGCCUAAAGAGGAGGUCAAGAAACCAGAUGUGAAGGCUAUUGAGAUCUCUGGUGGAAGAAAAUAAAGGCUAAAUUCGAUCUUUGGUGUGUUCCAGUUUGGUCUGAAAUGGUAAUAUAGUACCAUGCAAUAAACGAGUAGAUGUCUGUGAUCUUCAUUGUAAUGGGUCUUAUGGGCUUGUUUUGUAUGGAGUUGUUGUUUUAAUGUACUACUGAGUUCUCUUUGUCAAUAAAGAUUUGAGCUUUGUGUUUUCUAUUU